rnacentral:rRNA from 1 species
ACGAACGCUGGCGGCAUGCCUAACACAUGCAAGUCGAACGCGUGUAGCAAUACACGAGUGGCGGACGGGUGAGUAACGCGUGGGACCCUGCCCAGUGGUAGGGAAUAACUGCGGGAAACUGCAGCUAAUACCCUAUACGCCCUUUGGGGAAAGAUUCAUCGCCAUUGGAGGGGCCCGCGUCGGAUUAGCUAGUUGGCGGGGUAACGGCCCACCAAGGCAACGAUCCGUAGCUGGUCUGAGAGGAUGAUCAGCCACACUGGGACUGAGAUACGGCCCAGACUCCUACGGGAGGCAGCAGUGGGGAAUAUUGGACAAUGGGGGAAACCCUGAUCCAGCAAUGCCGCGUGAGUGAAGAAGGCCUUC